rnacentral:lncRNA from 1 species
AGCAAUAAACCAAAUGAACCAAGAGAUGUCCCCAGAUAAAUGUGUUCAGGAACAGCAGCAACUUCCUUUUGCCUCACCAAAGUGACUUAAGCCUCCAGCAGUAGUCUUUUGUGAGUCCCUGGCUGAAACUAAGACAUAACUAAUCUUCCCUCCGUUUGCAGAUGAAACGAUCUGCACUGCUACAUCAUUGAGCUUCCUGACUUCCUCUUCAUGUCCUACGGAAAGCCUUACUGUGACCAUCUGCACCCUGAAGGCACUUUGACUUGCCGUAGUGGCCUACUGUGAAGAGGCACCAGAAAAUCACAUUGGAGUGCUAAGGCUAAAGCUGAAAACUAAUUCCUGUUUCCUG